rnacentral:rRNA from 1 species
UACACUCCUGCGGGAGGCAGCAGGGGGGAAUUUUGGACAAUGGGCGAAAGCCUGAUCCAGCAAUGCCGCGUGAGUGAAGAAGGCCUUCGGGUUGUAAAGCUCUUUUGUCAGGGAAGAAACGGUGAAAGCUAAUAUCUUUUGCUAAUGACGGUACCUGAAGAAUAAGCACCGGCUAACUACGUGCCAGCAGCCGCGGUAAUACGUAGGGUGCAAGCGUUAAUCGGAAUUACUGGGCGUAAAGCGUGCGCAGGCGGUUUUGUAAGUCUGAUGUGAAAUCCCCGGGCUCAACCUGGGAAUUGCAUUGGAGACUGCAAGGCUAGAAUCUGGCAGAGGGGGGUAGAAGUCCACGUGUAGCAGUGAAAUGCGUAGAUAUGUGGAGGAACACCGCUGGCGAAGGCAGCCCCCUGGGUCAAGAUUGACGCUCAUGCACGAAAGCGUGGGGAGCAAACAGGAUUAGAAACCCCAGUAGUCCCAUGAU